CUCAGAGGCUUCCCCUGCUUUCGCGUGGACCUGUUUGCAGACCCCUCGGUCUCUCUUCUCGGGCUUGCCGAGGCAAAGCAGCCGCCUCGCCGGGGCUUCGUCGUGGUGUAUUUCAUAUUGGGGCUCUUUUCGGGGUUUGUAAUUUGGCCGUGGGUAGGUAAUUGGCUGGAGCAGGGCGGCAGGGCGCGGCAGCCAAUCAGCACGCUGCUUCUAUAGGGCUUGAGUUAUUAGACGCUGAUCUCAAAACAUCCUUCAUCAGACUCCAAGGAGAGGCCAACAGAUGAGGGAGCCAUUUUUCUGCAAUGGAAUUAAAUGGCCAAGUGGGUUUUUCCUUUGUUGCAAAUGGGGAAUGCUUUUCCUUUGACUCCACCAUCCAGUUCAGGACGCCUGAAUGUGUUUAACAUUUGCCAAAGGACUCACACUUGGAAGAAUGAAGAAGACCUUUUAAAAAGAUCUGGAUUUUUCCUUAUGACUUGGAAUCCAUCUUUGUCUUGUAUAACUAGGUCAUAGCACACUAUUAAUGUCAGCAGUUAACAGUUUUGAAUUCAAAAAAACCUAAGUAAAUGACAUAUUUAAUUUUUUUCCUCUUUUUUUCUCGGGUGGGUGGAGGGGAGAGCUUUGGAGCUGCCUUAAUCUGUAUUCUCUUGACUGAACAAUAAAUUUUUAAAUAUAGUUUCCUCUAUUAAACACUUAAGCCUGACCAUCUUAUUAACUCUAUUUUUAACAAGGUAAUGUUUUAAAUGUAUAGUUGUAGCGAAACGGCAACAAUUAACAAAAAACUGUGAGCUGUUGUUACUGUUCAAUUUUCUAAAAACCUUGUUACAUUGUAAGUACCCAAUCCAUUCUGUCCUUAACUGCACUGCCGUUUUCGUGUUACUGUCGCCUGAGAUGUCCUGAAUUUUCGGAAUCUUCAUCUGCAUGUGUGUCUUUGUCUCUGUCUGAUGUAAGUCAGUUAAAAUGCUUUUAGACCUUUGCUGCUAUAAAGCUACGACUUUUAGCUUCGAGCUUUUUGGGGGAAAAAUUGUUUACAGCCAUAGUUGCUAUUCAGAUUUCUUCCCAGUAGCUAGUCACUUUCUUUGAAAAUCGAUCUAUUUGAAGAAAAACAGCAGUUUUUCUCGACUUGGGUGUGGGGUGGCGGAGGGUGAGAGAAAGGAAGACCUUUUGCAUAUAUAUAUAUAUAUAUAAAAGACUGAAAGCCAUCUCUGAAAACUAGAUUAACUGGAAAACAAGCCCUAGCCGGCUCAAGCCAAACACCUACUUUAUCUGGGUAGUAUUUUCUAUGUCGGUUGGGAUGGCUGGUGAGCUAUUUGCCUUUUGUUUUUGAUUUGACUUGUGUUUUCGCCUUUUGUUUCUUAAUGACGAUCACACCAUUGGUAAAUCCUGAGCAGUAAACAGUCCUCAGCGAAGCCGCCUUUUUGCCAGCCCAACCCUGGAAAGUUUGCAGUCGUGGAAGGAGCAGAAAUACCACGAGUGUAACUUACAAAAAAAGCUUUUUCUUCCAGACUCCAUGGCACCGGGCUGCGUGGGUCUUGGCCGGAGAGCGGAGCCUUGUCUGUGUUAUCCCCACAGUAGGCAAUCCUUGCUUCCUCUGGACAUCUGGAGCAGGCCUAGUUUGACUGACAGCCUUCCCACUAAAGGUAGGUAAGAGCCCUUUCCCAAGUCCAGAGAACUAUUGCUGAGGGCUUUGACCUGCGGCCUUCGAUGGGCGGCUUGGGAUCCCCAAACCCGCUGGGCUGGUUCUGCGGCCCCUCCCCCACGCUGAUGUGGCGGUUGUGUGUGUGAAAUGGGCGGCCUGCUGGGUCCAUCCAGCCCCGCCUGUCAGCUUCUGCUGUCGGUCGUUGAGGGCGGGCGAUUCUCUUGCCGAAUUUAGCAGCUUACUAGAGCAAGGACUAUGAAGUAUUUCCCAGUGGUGUGUUUUAUGGUGGGUGGGAGGGCUCUGGAAGCUUCUGAAGAUAGUGGUGCUUCAGACCUUCUUCCUGAACCCCAUUGGGGUGACCAAUGGAACCACCUUCUGAUAUCUGGCUUGCUGGGUAGACAAAGAACCAAAAGACCUGAAGUGUUAGCCAGGUUCCCGAGAGAAAAGGUUUCCUUUGGCGUCUCCUUUUCCUGGAUCCUGGCUCUCAACAAGGCCAGGCGUCGCUAGCCUGGUUUCUAGAAUGUGACAUGAACGCAGGCUGGUCCUUUACCUCUCUGUAGCGACCGUACCUAGUCAACAAGGUCUGUGAGUAGCCUGAGCAGGGCCUCCCCAGCGGCACCCGGCCGUGGGACCCAUUAAGCCUUCCUGUGUCUGUCUCUCGAGUUUCUCUUCUAGGCAGCACAUCUAAGAACUUUUGCCCUCUCACAGUGUCCUGGGUUCUGCUAGGUCUCCAGACUCUCUCCCUAGUAGGUGACACCUGGGACGUGGCCGGGCUUGAUGGCUCGCCCUCCUCCCAGGCAGGAAGCUUAGCUGCAGAAAUUGGUGUGGCCCUGCCCCCCGCCCCCCUCAUGUGUUUCUCGUUUUGUUACUUUGAUAAGCCAUUUGGCCGCAGGUGCCGCGGAUCUUGCUGGCUUCCCCUAGUUAGGCCUCAAGCUUCCAGCCUCUUUUCUCCUCGUGCUGACGUGUGCGUUAGCGAGCCUGGAGGCCUUCCCUGGGAGGCAUAUUGGUGCUUAAUCGGGGGUGCUUCAAGUCUUUGGCAGCUGGGGGUUAAAUGACCAAGCUAGUGACCUUGGACCAGUGUCUCUCUCCCCCACCCCCGCCCCCGGGUAAAAAAGACCACAAUACCUGCUGGAAAAGGUUGGUGGGAGGAUUAAGUGAGAUUAAGGGGGCCAGACUCCUGCUCUGACCUCACAACCAGUUGGCCUCCAUUGUGGUUAGGUUUGUUGCUGGGAGUGGCUGCUGGCUGCGCCGGGUGGGGGCUGGGCUGUCUCCAGGGCUCCUCCCCGCCAGCCCACUUCCUGAAGCACGUGCUGGAGCCUCCAGGCAAAGAAGAAAACUGGCUCUGCUCGGGAAGGCAGCCAGCCCUGUUUUCCCUCUAGUGUCUGAGUCCAGGCUGUUCCGUGCUCAAUGGACUGUUCUGUGGUUGGGUCGUGAUUUCAAGGGCCACCCACCAAUAGCCCCUAGAGAAGAAAUGUCUCACCCAAGGUUAUGAGGCCACCACAGGCAGAGAGCCUGGACGGGGUUCCAGGUGUCUUGAUUUUGAGCCCGGAGCCGGGGCCCGUGACACCCCCUUGCCCAGCUGUCUGGGUUAUUUUAGGCACCCUCCCGUGCCAGCUGUCGGCCUCUCUGUCACCGCCAGAGAGCUGUCUGCUAUAGCAAGGCACCACAAUGGUCCUGUGGCUCCUGGUGGUGCAGAGGACCAGGCAUCAAGUCCCUGGCUGAGCUGGCUUUAUGCUGGGAGGGCUGAACUCCUCACCCCAAUUGAGAAGGGGGGCGGGGAGGAGCGCUCUCCGAAGUUGGUCUCGUUCAUACUGUAGAUACCCAGUAAGCCUUCGAACACAGCCAUCUCCCUACCCAAGGGCUCGGGUUAGAGUCCUUGGGUCUGGGGUCUUGAUCUCUCCCAGCCUCCUACUAAUUAAGUCCGCGCCGGGCAGCUCUACCCUGGAGGGCUACAGGCUUUAGGGAGCAAUUAGGAGCUAAACUGUGCUGUGACGCUUGAAAAGGGGGCGCUGGAAGUGACCGGGCCCACUUGUGACCGGCUCUGCUUCCAGAUCUUUGCACCUCCCUUUCUCCUUCCCCCCCCCCCCUUAUCACCUCCCGGGCAGUAGGGUGGGGCAGUUUGUCCCGCUGUUGUUCCUGGCCCUGAGGGGUGCCCCGCCCCCUGGUCACCCACUGAGCUUGGGGGCGGAGCGGCUUCGGCCUGCUGAGAGAGGGCCACGCCAGCGGAAGGCUUGCCUGGACUGGGAGGUGGCUGGAGUAGCUUUACUACACAGAUUCCUGUGUCCCCGCCCCUUCCGGCUCCUCCACUUGGCCUGGAGCCCAAGUUUGGAAUAUGACCUUUUUAGACUCUUGAGUGGAGCCUGCAACUGAGUUGGGUCGGAGAACCCGCCAUCCCGCCCUCCGGUCCCCCCACCCCCAGUGUUUCCUCGGGUUGUUACGAGCCCUCAGGCAAGUUCUUGCCGUUGCGAAGCAGGAGGGGGAAAAGUUUGAACGAAAACCUUCCGAGCUAUUUCUAAAAUUUUCGUUUGAUGGAGGAGGGUCUUGCCAUGUCCGGGCUAGCCUUAGUGGCAGUUUGGGACAGUAGGUACACUCCUUUGUACCAGCGUUAGCUGGUUUUCAGCCUGGCAACCAGAAAUAAGAAGCCCGACCUCUGCUCGUUCUGUAGAGCUGUUAGGGAGCCAAGACCUGGAGAGAGACUGCCUAACCAGGUAGAUAAGAUAGCGCAGCGACCGGGCAGCCGGCUUCACCCCUGCUUUAUCUCAAGGCUCUAGCUAGAGUCUUUAUCUCCCCCUUUUAUCUGUCAUCCCGUCUGUAUUCGGAGAGCUCAAUAAUUGAAUUAUGGGGCCUCUGAUUAGGGGAGUGGAGGCCUUGGCCUUCCCCCACCCAAAUUUGUACUUUGUCCCGAAAGACUGCAGUCUGUCAGCCUCUGCCUCUCUGGAUCUGCGCUUUGGUCUUACCAGUGACCACCUGGCAAGCGCCCUGAGGGGUUUUGAGGCAAAUCCCCGUAGAAGGAAAUUCUUGCUUUCCUCUGCUCUCCAGGAAUUCCUGGACAAAUCGAGAGUGACCCAGGCCCCCAGAACAUCUUGCAAAUGAGGGAGGAAGCCACCCUGGGUGGGUGAGCGUGUGUAUCUCCUCAGCUGGCCCGGCCUGACCUCUGAGGAGGCUCUUAACAGCAGCUGGCUGGAUUCCUGGGUAUUUUUAGCUACAGCCCCACCAUCACCACAAGAGCUGAGUCCAAAUCCAACACUUUAGGCCUGGUAUUGCUGGGCCUCUGCCUGUCGCCUGCUGAGGUGGGGCUGGGUGGCUAGGGCAGGCUGGAACCGGUGGCAGUGUGCAGCCUGAACCCACCCGAGCCAGACGUAGUCGCUUUUGGUCAUUUCCUCCCUGCAGCUUCCUGCAGACUUGCUCAGUCAUUGAGGAUGGAGAGGGCACACACGGGUCUGGGAAGCUGUUUCCACAGCCAGGAGCCCUCUCUUGGUCAUGUGUAGCAGAACAAGUUCUUUUACUUAGAAGUCAAUUCUCCCCCGGCAAACACAGCCAGCCAGUCUCCUGGGUCGAGAGUCAAGUCAAAAGACGCCUGAAGAAGAAACCCGGGGUCCUGCGAAGGUAGGUGGGUCCCAGCUGACUCCACAUCUCCCUCUCUGUGCGAUUGUUACUCCACGCUGGAGUGGCCUGCUCUGCACCUCACCUCUGGCAUAUCAAUGGAAAUUGUUCCCCCCACCCUCUGGGGCCACUGAGAGGUAGACCUGGGCCCUCCUCCCUGCCUGGUUCUGACAGGACUCCAUGGAAAGUCCCAUCUGUGGUGUCUUUUCACAGUUCUCCCCCUUCAACCAGCACUUAGCCCCUCCCUGAUUUAGCCCGUUACCUUGACAACCACUUGGGCCUGUUUCCCUCAUCACCACUGAUAACCUGAAGAAGGUUUUCCAGCUGCGGUACAUUUGCCCAAGUUAGGCAACCCCUUCAGCUUCUAUUGGCACGCCCCCCCACCCCCGCGCCCCCGGUGCAACUGUACCCAAUAUAACAAACACAACCUUCCGGGUGCCUCAGCUGGAGUCUGGAAAUUGAUCACAGGUCCCGGGAGCUCCUUCGCAUGGCCUCCUCCAGACUCAGUUCCUCACAGGCAGGAACGUGGUUGUUUCUCAAUAAACACGUUGCAAAAAAGGAA